rnacentral:rRNA from 1 species
CAGUCGCCGCGGGAAUACGAAGGGGGCUAGCGUUGUUCGGAAUUGCUGGGCGUAAAGGGCGCGUAGGCGGCCAUUCAAGUUAGAUGUGAAAGCCCUGGGCUCAACCUAGGAAUUGCAUUUGAUGCUGUUUGGCUUGAGUUCGGGAGAGGUGAGUGGAAUUCCCAGUGUAGAGGUGAAAUUCGUAGAUAUUGGGAAGAACACCAGUGGCGAAGGCGGCUCACUGGACCGACACUGACGCUGAGGCGCGAAAGCGUGGGGAGCAAACAGGAUUAGAUACCCCCGUAGUCCCUGUCUCUUAUAC